CACUUUCCACUACUUCCCUUAUCAAUUUUCUUCCUUCAGGAAAGAGACCACCUUCAUUCAGAAACCAACCAUCUCUCUCUCUCUCUCUCAGAUCUUUGAAUGGGGUUUCUGUGGAUGGUCUGCUAGCUAGUUUUUGGUGAAAAUCCAACUGGGUUUCUGCUUGAUUGCUGAGAAAUUAUAGGAAAAGAAAUUAGAAUUUGGGAGUUUUUGACAG